UACGGGGGGUGCUAGCGUUGUUCGGAAUUAUUGGGCGUAAAGGGCGCGCAGGCGGUUGUGAUAGUCAGAUGUGAAAUCCUCCGGCUCAACUGGAGAACUGCAUCUGAAACUUCACAACUAGAGUACAGGAGAGGGAAACGGAAUUCCCGGUGUAGAGGUGAAAUUCGUAGAUAUCGGGAGGAACACCAGUGGCGAAGGCGGUUUCCUGGCCUGAUACUGACGCUGAGGCGCGAAAGCGUGGGGAGCAAACAGGAUUAGAUACCCUGGUAGUCCACGCGGUAAACGGUGAACACUAGGUGUGGGAGGUGUAAUACCUUCUGUGCCGAAGCUAACGCGUUAAGUGUUCCGCCUGGGAAGUACGGCCGCAAGGUUGAA
rnacentral:rRNA from 1 species